rnacentral:rRNA from 1 species
UGGGGAAUAUUGCACAAUGGGCGCAAGCCUGAUGCAGCCAUGCCGCGUGUGUGAAGAAGGCCUUCGGGUUGUAAAGCACUUUCAGCGAGGAGGAAGGUGGUGAACUUAAUACGUUCAUCAAUUGACGUUACUCGCAGAAGAAGCACCGGCUAACUCCGUGCCAGCAGCCGCGGUAAUACGGAGGGUGCAAGCGUUAAUCGGAAUUACUGGGCGUAAAGCGCACGCAGGCGGUUUGUUAAGUCAGAUGUGAAAUCCCCGGGCUCAACCUGGGAACUGCAUUUGAAACUGGCAAGCUAGAGUCUCGUAGAGGGGGGUAGAAUUCCAGGUGUAGCGGUGAAAUGCGUAGAGAUCUGGAGGAAUACCGGUGGCGAAGGCGGCCCCCCUGGACGAAGACUGACGCUCAGGUGCGAAAAGCGUGGGGCAGCAAACAGGAUUAGAUACCCUGGUAGUCCACGCUGUAAACGAUGUCGAUUUGGAGGUUGUGCCCUUGAGGCGUGGCUUCCGGAGCUAACG